rnacentral:lncRNA from 1 species
GUCUUAGGCUUUCGGCCGAUGUCCAUGGUCCGAAGGUGCUAGGCAAGGAAGGUCUCCACAAGGACCCCCAUGGAGGAAAAAUGACGUCAGCGGACGCCGUGCCAUCUAGGCUUUCGCCCGGAGCCACCUCGCCGAGCACCCCCAAAGCAACCGGCGGCGCAACACCACCGGUCUACAAGCCCGUUGUUCCACUCACCUACACGACGACGACGUCGUCCUCACGCGGGAGCCGUCAACCUCACCGCGUGCGAGCUGGAGCUGGCCAAACCGGCCAGAUCUGACGCCCACCACCGCACUGCCACGGAGCGGCACCGCCACAAUCCCAGGGCGUGGUCAGCACCAGCACCACAUCGCCGACGGCCCCAACACCGACCACACCUUGCACCUUUGCGCCCGCCGCAGAUCGACGCGCGCGCGCCGCUAGAUCCGUCGCGCACACGCCGCACCACCCUGGCUCGGGCGAGCGCGCGUGCGCCCACGCAACCGCGCAGCAAGGAAGCCCACCCAUGCCCCAGGCACCCCCGUGCGCCUCGCCGCCGCCAUGCCCCGCGCCACGCCACGCGUUGCACCGCGUCGGAGAGGAAGAUGGCUCCGUCGCCGCCCACGCAAGCCAGGCUUUGCCUGGCCGUGCAUGCCGACGGCGGCGGGGAAGAGGGAAGGCGGGGAGGGACCGCGAGCGGCGGCGGCGGGGAAGAGGGAAGGCGGGGAGGGACCGCGAGCGGCGGCGGCUAGGGUUUCGGCCUGCC